CGAUAUUCACUUUGUACCAAAACUUCAAUCAGUUGAAUUCUCUAUUCAAUUCAAUUAAAUUCAGUUAAUGUAUUAAUGGAAUUCUCAAUGCAGUUCAGUUAAUCGAGAUGCUCAUACUUGAUGCAACAAAAAUAAGUGGUGACUGAAGAUUGAUUUUCGAUAAGAAUCGGAAAAUUACAGCCCGCACACCUAAAUGGCGUCUGAACAACCUCGAAAGGUCGCGAGAGUUCAAUCGAUUGGAAUUAAGUCAUGGCGUCUUCUUCAAAUCCAGUUCAUCAGAAUGACAAGGGAAAAGCACCAAGAUCGCACUUUCGACCAACAGAUCAAACAAUUACUCGAAUUGUGGAUGGCAUAAACCUGGAGCAGCUAAGAAAAGGAAGUAGAUCUACGCUCCAAAAGAGAAGGCAACUGAUGUGAAGGGUUUUACAACGAUUUGCGGCUAAGUAGCAGUCAUAUGGUAUGCAAACUGCAUGAACAGAUCCUCCUUAUCAGCUGUGAAAGGAACUCAGGAUUGCCAUUCCUUUAAAUGGCAGAAAGUUUUCGAGUAAAACCUGAUACAUCUUGGAAAAGAAUAGUUAGUCAUCUACUUUUGGAGGCAUUUUGACGUUCUCAGGCAAUCUGCUCCAAUGGGAAUGCUUUUGUGGAUGCCAUCUGUAGUUUCUUACUGAAUCUUAAUACUUUUGAUUACCUAAAAAGUAUCACAUGCAUCGCAUUCAAUGCUAAAUAUAUCACUUAUGAGCUAUAAAAAUUGUUGUAUAGGUAAUUUUAUUAUAAUUUUUUAUCAUUGGAUCAUUAUUUU